rnacentral:rRNA from 1 species
UAUGAGAGUUUGAUCCUGGCUCAGGACGAACGCUGGCGGCGUGCCUAAUACAUGCAAGUCGAACGCUUCUUUUUCCACCGGAGCUUGCUCCACCGGAAAAAGAGGAGUGGCGAACGGGUGAGUAACACGUGGGUAACCUGCCCAUCAGAAGGGGAUAACACUUGGAAACAGGUGCUAAUACCGUAUAACAAUCAAAACCGCAUGGUUUUGAUUUGAAAGGCGCUUUCGGGUGUCGCUGAUGGAUGGACCCGCGGUGCAUUAGCUAGUUGGUGAGGUAACGGCUCACCAAGGCCACGAUGCAUAGCCGACCUGAGAGGGUGAUCGGCCACAUUGGGACUGAGACACGGCCCAAACUCCUACGGGAGGCAGCAGUAGGGAAUCUUCGGCAAUGGACGAAAGUCUGACCGAGCAACGCCGCGUGAGUGAAGAAGGUUUUCGGAUCGUAAAACUCUGUUGUUAGAGAAGAACAAGGAUGAGAGUAACUGUUCAUCCCUUGACGGUAUCUAACCAGAAAGCCACGGCUAACUACGUGCCAGCAGCCGCGGUAAUACGUAGGUGGCAAGCGUUGUCCGGAUUUAUUGGGCGUAAAGCGAGCGCAGGCGGUUUUGGAAAAACAAUAUGAAGAUGUCCUGCAAGGAACCAAAACCCAAUAUGAAGUUGGAGACUUGAGUGCAGAAGAGGAGAGUGGAAUUCCAUGUGUAGCGGUGAAAUGCGUAGAUAUAUGGAGGAACACCAGUGGCGAAGGCGGCUCUCUGGUCUGUAACUGACGCUGAGGCUCGAAAGCGUGGGGAGCAAACAGGAUUAGAUACCCUGGUAGUCCACGCCGUAAACGAUGAGUGCUAAGUGUUGGAGGGUUUCCGCCCUUCAGUGCUGCAGCUAACGCAUUAAGCACUCCGCCUGGGGAGUACGACCGCAAGGUUGAAACUCAAAGGAAUUGACGGGGGCCCGCACAAGCGGUGGAGCAUGUGGUUUAAUUCGAAGCAACGCGAAGAACCUUACCAGGUCUUGACAUCCUUUGACCACUCUAGAGAUAGAGCUUCCCCUUCGGGGGCAAAGUGACAGGUGGUGCAUGGUUGUCGUCAGCUCGUGUCGUGAGAUGUUGGGUUAAGUCCCGCAACGAGCGCAACCCUUAUUGUUAGUUGCCAUCAUUCAGUUGGGCACUCUAGCAAGACUGCCGGUGACAAACCGGAGGAAGGUGGGGAUGACGUCAAAUCAUCAUGCCCCUUAUGACCUGGGCUACACACGUGCUACAAUGGGAAGUACAACGAGUUGCGAAGUCGCGAGGCUAAGCUAAUCUCUUAAAGCUUCUCUCAGUUCGGAUUGCAGGCUGCAACUCGCCUGCAUGAAGCCGGAAUCGCUAGUAAUCGCGGAUCAGCACGCCGCGGUGAAUACGUUCCCGGGCCUUGUACACACCGCCCGUCACACCACGAGAGUUUGUAACACCCGAAGUCGGUGAGGUAACCUUUUUGGAGCCAGCCGCCUAAGGUGGGAUAGAUGAUUGGGGUGAAGUCGUAACAAGGUAGCCGUAUCGGAAGGUGCGGCUGGAUCACCUCCUUU